rnacentral:rRNA from 1 species
AUACGGAAGGUCCGGGCGUUAUCCGGAUUUAUUGGGUUUAAAGGGAGCGCAGGCGGAGAUGCAAGCGUGACGUCAAAUUUCGGGGCUCAACCCCGUCUCGCGUCGCGAACUGCGUCCCUUGGUUGCGGGAAGGGGAGGCGGAACUCGGGGUGUAGCGGGGGAAUGCAUAGAUAUCACGAAGAACUCCGAUCGCGAAGGCAGCCUUCCGGCCCGUCAACGACGCUCAUGCUCGAAGGUGCGGGUAUCAAACAGGAUUAGAUACCCUGGUAGUCCGCACAGUAAACGAUGGACACCCGCGGUUUGGCUUGUAUGGCUGAGCCGCCAAGCGAAAGCGUUAAGUGUCCCACCUGGGGAGUACGCCGGCAACGGUGAAACUCAAAUGAAUUGACGGGG